GAGCACUCAGCACAGUGACUCAGCACUUUCCUCAGCUAUUCGGGACACAGAAAGCUUCAAGACACAAUUUUCUUCACUACUCCGGAGAGGAGAAGCGCAGUGCAGGACAGGUCAAUAACGGAAGGCUUUUUCAAUAGAAGAGCCAUGGCAGCAAUGAGCCAAACAAUGACAGUGUUGUACCACCUCGGCCACUGAUUGGAUGAGCAGGAAGGUCCUUGUGCCGACACAGACACAAGGAAGAGCUACACGGUGGAACCGGGCUCUAUGACAACAGCGGUGGUGGGGGAACAAGAAAGAUGGUAAUUUCUUUAUGGAUGUAAUACCUCUUGGGCAACUCCAUGAAAUUCAAGUGCUAUUUGCAGCAGGUUUUGCCGAAAUUCUAACUGGCUUGCCUGCCGGUAACAGACAUCGCUGAGCCGCUGCUGCAAACCCU